GAGAGGGAAAGGUGGACGGACAGUGAGAGAGAGAGAGAGAGAGGGAAAGGUGGACGGACAGUGAGAGAGAGAGAGAGAGGGAAAGGUGGACGGACAGUGAGAGAGAGAGAGAGAGGGAAAGGUGGACGGACAGUGAGAGAGAGAGAGAGAGAGGGAAAGGUGGACGGACAGUGAGAGAGAGAGAGAGGGAAAGGUGGACGGACAGUGAGAGAGAGAGAGAGGGAAAGGUGGACGGACAGUGAGAGAGAGAGAGAGGGAAAGGUGGACGGACAGUGAGAGAGAGAGAGAGGGAAAGGUGGACGGACAGUGAGAGAGAGAGAGAGGGAAAGGUGGACGGACAGUGAGAGAGAGAGAGAGGGAAAGGUGGACGGACGGUGAGAGAGAGAGAGAGGGAAAGGUGGACGGACGGUGAGAGAGAGAGAGAGGGAAAGGUGGACGGACGGUGAGAGAGAGAGAGGGAAAGGUGGACGGACGGUGAGAGAGAGAGAGGGAAAGGUGGACGGACGGUGAGAGAGAGAGAGGGAAAGGUGGACGGACGGUGAGAGAGAGAGAGGGAAAGGUGGACGGACGGUGAGAGAGAGAGAGGGAAAGGUGGACGGACGGUGAGAGAGAGAGAGGGAAAGGUGGACGGACGGUGAGAGAGAGAGAGGGAAAGGUGGACGGACGGUGAGAGAGAGAGGGAAAGGUGGACGGACGGUGAGAGAGAGAGGGAAAGGUGGACGGACGGUGAGUGAGAGGGCAAGGGGGACGGACGGUGAGUGAGAGGGCAAGGUGGACGGACGGUGAGUGAGAGGGCAAGGUGGACGGACGGUGAGUGAGAGAGGGAAAGGUGGACGGACGGUGAGUGAGAGAGGGAAAGGUGGACGGACGGUGAGUGAGAGAGGGAAAGGUGGACGGACGGUGAGUGAGAGAGGGAAAGGUGGACGGACGGUGAGUGAGAGAGGGAAAGGUGGACGGACGGUGAGUGAGAGAGGGAAAGGUGGACGGACGGUGAGUGAGAGAGGGAAAGGUGGACGGACGGUGAGUGAGAGAGGGAAAGGUGGACGGACGGUGAGUGAGAGAGGGAAAGGUGGACAGUGAGAGAGAGGGAAAGGUGAGAGAGGGCAGAGAAGAAAAUAUGGAUGAGACAGGAGAGAGAGAAUUCACUGUAUACAGUGCCUUGCGAAAGUAUUCGGCCCCCUUGAACUUUGCGACCUUUUGCCACAUUUCAGGCUUCAAACAUAAAGAUAUAAAACUGUAUUUUUUUGUGAAGAAUCAACACAAUGUGUGUGGGACACAAGUGGGACACAAUCAUGAAGUGGAACGACAUUUAUUGGAUAUUUCAAACUUUAACAAAUCAAAAACUGAAAAAUUGGGCGUGCAAAAUUAUUCAGCCCCCUUAAGUUAAUACUUUGUAGCUCCACCUUUUGCUGCGAUUACAGCUGUAAGUUGCUUGGGGUAUGUCUCUAUCAGUUUUGCACAUCGAGAGACUGAAAUUUUUUCCCAUUCCUCCUUGCAAAACAGCUCGAGCUCAGUGAGGUUGGAUGGAGAGCAUUUGUGAACAGCAGUUCAGUUCUUUCCACAGAUUCUCGAUUGGAUUCAGGUCUGGACUUUGACUUGGCCAGUCUAACACCUGGAUAUGUUUAUUUUUGAACCAUUCCAUUGUAGAUUUUGCUUUAUGUUUUGGAUCAUUGUCUUGUUGGAAGACAAAUCUCCGUCCCAGUCUCAGGUCUUUUGCAGACUCCAUCAGGUUCUUCCAGAAUGGUCCUGUAUUUGCCUCCAUCCAUCUUCCCAUCAAUUUUAACCAUCUUCCCUGUCCCUGCUGAAGAAAAGCAGGCCCAAACCAUGAAACUGCCACCACCAUGUUUGACAGUGGGGAUGGCGUGUUCAGGGUGAUGAGCUGUGUUGCUUUUACGCCAAACAUAACGUUUUGCAUUGUUGCCAAAAAGUUCACUUUUGGUUUCAUCUGACCAGAGCACCUUCUUCCACAUGUUUGGUGUGUCUCCCAGGUGGCUUGUGGCAAACUUUAAACAACACUUUUUAUGGAUAUCUUUAAGAAAUGGCUUUCUUCUUGCCACUCUUCCAUAAAGGCCAGAUUUGUGCAAUAUACAACUGAUUGUUGUCCUAUGGACAGUCUCCCACCUCAGCUGUAGAUCUCUGCAGUUCAUCCAGAGUGAUCAUGGGCCUCUUGGCUGCAUCUCUGAUCAGUCUUCUCCUUGUAUGAGCUGAAAGUUUAGUGGGACGGCCAGGUCUUGGUAGAUUUGCAGUGGUCUGAUACUCCUUCCAUUUAAAUAUUAUUGCUUGCACAGUGCUCCUUGGCAUGUUUAAAGCUUGGGAAAUAUUUUUGUAUCCAAAUCCGGCUUUAAACUUCUUCACAACAGUAUCUCGGACCUGCCUGGUGUGUUCCUUGUUCUUCAUGAUGCUCUCUGCGCUUUUAACGGACCUCUGAGACUAUCACAGUGCAGGUGCAUUUAUACGGAGACUUGAUUACACACAGGUGGAUUGU